rnacentral:rRNA from 1 species
GAUGCCCAAGGCACCCCAAGGUAAAAUUCAAGGACAAACAAAAGCCUAAGCUUGGGGAUGCCCCAGAAGGCAUCCCCUCUUUCGUCUUCGUCUAUCGGUAACUUUACUUGAGACUAUAUUUUUAUUCACCACAUGAUAUGUGUUUUGCUUGGAGCGUCUUGUAUGAUUUGAGUCUUUGCUUUUUAGUUUACCACAAUCAUCCUUGCUG